rnacentral:rRNA from 1 species
UUUGGAGGGCAAGUCUGGUGCCAGCAGCCGCGGUAAUUCCAGCUCCAAUAGCGUAUAUUAAAGUUGUUGCAGUUAAAAAGCUCGUAGUUGAAUUUCGGGAUCAAUGCGUCGGUCGUGCCUUCGGUACGUACUGGCGUCAUUGAUUCCUCCCUUCUGAAGAACCGUGAUGUCAUUAAUUUGGUGUUACGGGGAAUCAGGACUGUUACCUUGAAAAAAUUAGAGUGUUUAAAGCAGGCA